GAUGAACGCUGGCGGCGUGCCUAAUACAUGCAAGUAGAACGCUGAAGGAGGAGCUUGCUCUUCUGGAUGAGUUGCGAACGGGUGAGUAACGCGUAGGUAACCUGCCUAGUAGCGGGGGAUAACUAUUGGAAACGAUAGCUAAUACCGCAUGACAACAGUUAUUGCAUGAUAACUGUUUAAAAGGGGCAACUGCUCCACUACCAGAUGGACCUGCGUUGUAUUAGCUAGUUGGUGCGGUAACGGCUCACCAAGGCGACGAUACAUAGCCGACCGGGGAGGGGGAUCGGCCACACUGGAGCGGGGACAGGGCCCAGAGGCCUACGGGAGGCAGCAGUAGGGAAGCGGCGGCAAUGGACGGAAGUCUUACCGAGCAGCGCCGCGUGAGAGAAGAAGGUGUUCGGUGCGUAAAGCUCUGUUGUAAGAGAAGAACGAGUGUGGGAGUGGAAAGUUCACACUGUGACGGUAUCUUACCAGAAAGGGACGGCUAACUACGUG
rnacentral:rRNA from 1 species